UCUUGUUUUGCAGUGUCACAAAGAUGAAGCCGAGCCUUUUUGGUGGCUGGGUUGUGGGGUGUGUUUAAGAAGCCUGUAUAAAAUGGCACACUGCAUUUCUGCAUUUUUUCCAGGCUGCAGAAGGGGGGAGAGCGGGGGAUAGUGCAGACUGUGUAGGGACACUGCCCUCCUAACCAAUCAGAACACGCCUGUUUGCCAUUACAAAGUUGUUAACCCCAGAGUCUUCUGGCUCCUGCUGCCUCUGCUUUUAAUCUUCUUUGGAUAUUUCUCUGGUUUACUCAAACGCCCUCGCAGAUCCUGAGGUGUGUGUGUGUGUGUCGUGGGGGUAACCUUCGGAACUGACCAUUGAUCGUGGGAGAGACUUUCGGUUUGCAUUUGCAAAGAUUUUUAAAGAUGUUUGGGGAUUCUUUGGCUGCGUGGAGGUGGCUAUUUGCAAGCGAGAAACUAUACACAGCCUAUUUUGUUACAGUCGUUGUGAAGAGGCAGCUGUCUGCUUCUUUUCGAGGGUGAAUCUGUUAGAACCAUACGUUGUACUUGGAUCUUUUAUGAACCGACGAAGAACUCGAAUGUUUUCAAGGUGGAGCCUCUAAAAACGAUAAGAAAUAUGACCAGAGCAAAACAAAAAAAAAUUUUUUUUCUUAACCCCCCCCCCCCCAAUGCAUUGUUUGAGGGUACCAGGAAUACUUUUUUAAAAAAGGAUGUUUGUGGUUGCAAUUAUUUGGGGGCUGGAUGAAUUGGCUUGGUGUAAAGUACACGAGAAACUGCCCUUCAUGUAAUGAAGGAGGGGAUUGACAGGGUUUAUAUUAAGUUAUGUCUGUUACUAAACAUUGGCCUUUGUAUUCGCCAAUCAGCUGUCUUUUGGUCACUCAUCUUAAAGCAUUCUUUAUAUAAAGGAUCCUAAUGAGCAUA